rnacentral:rRNA from 1 species
UACGUAGGGUGCAAGCGUUGUCCGGAAUUAUUGGGCGUAAAGAGCUCGUAGGCGGUUCGUCGCGUCGGCUGUGAAAACCCGGAGCUCAACUCCGGGCCUGCAGUCGAUACGGGCGGACUCGAGUUCGGCAGGGGAGACUGGAAUUCCUGGUGUAGCGGUGAAAUGCGCAGAUAUCAGGAGGAACACCGGUGGCGAAGGCGGUUCUCUGGGCCUUACCUGACGCUGAGGAGCGAAAGCGUGGGGAGCGAACAGG